GACGAACGCUGGCGGCGUGCCUAAUACAUGCAAGUCGAACGCAGUGGGGACGGGUGAGUAACACGUGGGUAACCUCCCAUCAGAGGGGAUAACACUUGGAAACAGGUGCUAAACUGAUAUUGAUGGAUGGACCCGCGGUGCAUUAGCUAGAGGGGGAGGUAACGGCUCCCCAAGGCCACGAUGCAUAGCCGACCGGAGAGGGUGAUCGGCCACACUGGGACUGAGACACGGCCCGGACUCCUACGGGAGGCAGCAGGAGGGAAUAUUGGGCAAUGGACGAAAGCCUGACCGAGCAACGGCGCGUGAGUGAAGAAGGUGUUCGGAGCGUAAAACGCUGUUGUUAGGGAAGCGGUAUCUAACCAGAAAGCCACGGCUAACUACGUGCCAGCAGCCGCGGUAAUUC
rnacentral:rRNA from 1 species